AGCAAGGGACGUGUGAACGCACAUGACCCAUUUUAAGUUGAGUGCCGAUAACCCUAACGUUAACAGCGUUAGCCAGAAGGAGGUCUUCUCCCCAAACACGCCGCUCACUGCUCUCUCAUCUCCUCCACAGAGCUUCCUCUCUCUCAACCUCCGGCCACCUCUGUUUUUCUUCAGCAACGUCAGACCGGCAAGGGCAUCUACUCUCUCAAUCUAACCCAGACGGCACACAGCCAAGCCAAGCCAAGCCCCUCUCAUCCUCCUCCACCUCUGUUUUUCUCAUGUUCAACGCCUCUCUCAUCCUCAUUAUUUGUUCUUCUCAGAAACCCCAACCACUGCCACAUGCUCCGCCUUUCCCACCUCUUCGCCGCCAAGGACCACCGAUUCUACCACACAUCUUUUCAAGGCUCCGACUUUUUUCCAGCUAUGCUUAUAGUCUCUAGGUCAGCCAAGGCUCUGAAAUGGGAUGAACCAAAAUGUGCAGAUUUGGGACUUCCCUUCCAUGAUUGAACUUCAUAGAGGGGCCUGAACUGACACCAUUGUGGGGCUGCUACAAUCAGACCAAACUCAAUAAGUUAGCAAAGGAUAAAAUUGAUAAAUGGAGGAUCUGCUAGUGCAUACAGGACUUGGCAUGUCAAACCAGUCAUUUGAUUUACUCCUGCCUUGCUGCUCUUUUGGGCAAGUCAGGUGUGUAAACUAAGUUCCCAGUUUCUAAUGACAUGAAUAGCACCCUAUAAGUCUCUUUCACAUUCACAAUGCACACACUGGCAUUCACAAACACCAAUCUCUCUUUUCUAUUGCAAGAUUGAGUCACAAUAUGGACCCAUGGUGAAAAACUUACACAGAAGAUGUUGGUUGGUUCUAUAUAAAUGAACAUUACUCAUAUCGUAAAAUGUAGUUUUAAGUAGGCAAUGCAAUUUUUUAAGCCUCACAAAGGAUAGCGGGAGCAAAUUACAGCUUUCAUAAUCCCCACAUGAAUUUGUAAUUGAUAAUGAAAAUAUUGUUGCUUCUAUUUUUAA